rnacentral:rRNA from 1 species
UACGAAGGGGGCUAGCGUUGCUCGGAAUCACUGGGCGUAAAGCGCACGUAGGCGGACUUUUAAGUCAGGGGUGAAAUCCUGGAGCUCAACUCCAGAACUGCCUUUGAUACUGGAAGUCUUGAGUUCGAGAGAGGUGAGUGGAACUGCGAGUGUAGAGGUGAAAUUCGUAGAUAUUCGCAAGAACACCAGUGGCGAAGGCGGCUCACUGGCUCGAAACUGACGCUGAGGUGCGAAAGCGUGGGGAGCAAACAGG